rnacentral:tRNA from 1 species
GGGCCCGUAGCUCAGCGGAAGAGCAGGCGGCUCAUAACCGCUCGGUCGCAGGUUCGAAUCCUGCCGGGCCCA